CACCCAUUUGUCCACUUGCCAAGGACCAACUUGCCGGUUAUAUGCGAGCGCGAGCACCGACAGAGCGUAGCGUUUCUGGGAUGCUACUGUAUUGCGUAGUAAAAGUAAGUCCUCCCAUGUUCAUCAUCGGUAUUCAUCCGCGCCGUUCUCCGUGAAAGACUCCUCCAACAUGGGCAGCACUACCGCAGCGCUACUACACUACACUACAAAAUGUCUAUGUAAUAGGUACAUGCGUACGCUACCUAGGCGAGACGGAGAAUACAUGCUCUAUCCGAUCCCUACUUGGAGUUCCGGGCAACGAACGGAACGGAUACAUAGUACGCGCGGUUCUCACGACAAGUGAUAUGAAACAGACAAAACCACGUAACAACCACAUUCGAAACUGAAGAUCGGGUAGGGUGUAUGAAGCGUCCGAAACGCAUUUGGUUGAUACCAAAUUCUUCUACGGAGAUUGUGGAAUGGUGGGGUGAACCACCACCGCAAACCCCGGCCUCCUUGUAACGGACCAUUCGGCUGUACCAUGACUCGAAAUUCUCUCGCGGAGCCGUCCGUUGCCCGUGAGCCUCCCGAGCUCAGACAUUCCGCUACGGGAUAGUACGGGAUCAGACACGGCCGUGAAAACCCCACUGCAUCACUCUUGGCUCUCUGGCCCUACUUUCAAGGGAAAAAAAACGAAGAAAAAAAA